rnacentral:rRNA from 1 species
CCUACGGGGGGCUGCAGUGGGGAAUAUUGGACAAUGGGCGAAAGCCUGAUCCAGCCAUGCCGCGUGUGUGAAGAAGGCCUUCGGGUUGUAAAGCACUUUCAGUGGGGAAGAAAGCCUUGGGGCUAAUACCCUCGAGGAAGGACAUCACCCACAGAAGAAGCACCGGCUAACUCCGUGCCAGCAGCCGCGGUAAUACGGAGGGUGCGAGCGUUAAUCGGAAUUACUGGGCGUAAAGCGCGCGUAGGCGGUCUGAUAAGCCGGGUGUGAAAGCCCCGGGCUCAACCUGGGAACGGCAUCCGGAACUGUCAGGCUAGAGUGCAGGAGAGGAAGGUAGAAUUCCCGGUGUAGCGGUGAAAUGCGUAGAGAUCGGGAGGAAUACCAGUGGCGAAGGCGGCCUUCUGGACUGACACUGACGCUGAGGUGCGAAAGCGUGGGUAGCAAACAGGAUUAGAUACCCGGGUAGUC